UAAUACCGCAUAACGUCGCAAGACCAAAGAGGGGGACCGUUCGGGCCUCUUGCCAUCGGAUGUGCCCAGAUGGGAUUAGCUUGUUGGUGGGGUAACGGCUCACCAAGGCGACGAUCCCUAGCUGGUCUGAGAGGAUGACCAGCCACACUGGAACUGAGACACGGUCCAAACUCCUACGGGAGGCAGCAUG
rnacentral:rRNA from 1 species